rnacentral:rRNA from 1 species
UACAGAGGGUGCGAGCGUUAAUCGGAAUUACUGGGCGUAAAGCGUGCGUAGACGGUUCUGUAAGUCGGAUGUGAAAUCCCCGGGCUCAACCUGGGAAUUGCAUUCGAGACUGCAAAGCUUGGGUGCGGAAGAGGGAAGCGGAAUUUCCGGUGUAGCGGUGAAAUGCGCAGAUAUCAGGAAGAACACCCGUGGCGAAGGCGGCUCUCUGGAACGCAACUGACGCUGAGGUGCGAAAGCGUGGGGAGCAAACAGG